AGAGCGAACGCUGGCGGCAUGCUUAACACAUGCAAGUCGCACGGGCAGGGGAAACCCUGUCAGUGGCGGACGGGUGAGUAACGCGUAGGUAUCUAUCCUUGGGUGGGGGACAACUGUGGGAAACUACAGCUAAUACCGCAUGAUAACUGAGGUUUAAAGGCGCAAGUCGCCUGGGGAGGAGCCUGCGUACGAUUAGCUAGUUGGUGGGGUAAAGGCCCACCAAGGCAACGAUCGUUAGCUGGUCUGAGAGGAUGAUCAGCCACAUUGGGACUGAGACACGGCCCAAACUCCUACGGGAGGCAGCAGUGGGGAAUAUUGGACAAUGGGCGAAAGCCUGAUCCAGCAAUGCCGCGUGUGUGAAGAAGGUCUUCGGAUUGUAAAGCACUUUCGACGGGGACGAUGAUGACGGUACCCGUAGAAGACGCCCCGGCUAACUUCGUGCCAGCAGCCGC
rnacentral:rRNA from 1 species